rnacentral:rRNA from 1 species
UGGUCCAUUAGAGGAAGUAAAAGUCGUAACAAGGUCUCCGUAGGUGAACCUGCGGAGGGAUCAUUACACAAUAUGAAGGCGGGCUGGACACCCUCCAGCCGGGCACUGCUUCACGGCGUGCGCGGCUGGAGCCGGCCCUGCUGAAUUAUUCACCCGUGUCUUUUGCGUACUUCUUGUUUCCUGGGUGGGCUCGCACGCCAUCAGGACCAACCAUAAACCUUUUUGUAAUAGCAAUCAGCGUCAGUAACAACGUAAUUAAUUACAACUUUCAACAACGGAUCUCUUGGUUCUGGCAUCGAUGAAGAACGCAGCGAAAUGCGAUACGUAGUGUGAAUUGCAGAAUUCAGUGAAUCAUCGAAUCUUUGAACGCACAUUGCGCCCUUUGGUAUUCCAAAGGGCAUGCCUGUUCGAGCGUCAUUUGUACCCUCAAGCUUUGCUUGGUGUUGGGCGUCUUUUGUCUCCAGCUCGCUGGAGACUCGCCUUAAAGUCAUUGGCAGCCGGCCUACUGGUUUCGGAGCGCAGCACAAGUCGCGCUCUUGCCCAGCCAAGGUCAGCGUCCAGCAAGCCUUUUUUCAACCUUUGACCUCGGAUCAGGUAGGGAUACCCGCUGAACUUAAGCAUA